rnacentral:ribozyme from 13 species
UUUUUUUUUUUUUUUUUUUUUUUUUUUUUUCCAAU